rnacentral:rRNA from 1 species
UACGUAGGGUCCGAGCGUUAAUCGGAAUUACUGGGCGUAAAGCGUGCGCAGGCGGUUUUGUAAGCCAGAUGUGAAAGCCCCGGGCUCAACCUGGGAACUGCAUUUGGGACUGCAAGGCUGGAGUACGGCAGAGGGAGGUGGAAUUCCACGUGUAGCAGUGAAAUGCGUAGAGAUGUGGAGGAACACCGAUGGCGAAGGCAGCCUCCUGGGCUAGUACUGACGCUCAUGCACGAAAGCCAGGGGAGCGAACGGG